UAUAUCUAUUUAUACGAAUAUAUCAUAUAUAUAUAUGUAUAUACAUAUAUAUAUAUAUAUAAAUAUUUUUUUUUUAACAAUGAAAAGUCACCAAAUACUUGACGAUACUUUGAUUCGAAAUAAAUUGGAAUUCACGUUGUUGCAUUGCCUCCGCGAGAAAGAUUUCGAUCACGUGCAUUUAUAUCCCCCCCCCCCCCCCCCCCACUCCUUCGUAAUUUCGCGCAAGCGUUUGGUGAUUUGGUGAAACGGAACUGUGUAUGCGAAUACCUCGGGGUAUAAAAAGGGACUCGUUUCUGGACGAGCAGUGAGUAGUUUGUCUGGCUGAGUUGGAAAGAGUCAAACUGUGGUCACCGACGACCCUCGAACGGCUGAAAAGGGUGGCGAAAAGAGCGAAAAGCGGUUCGCGGGUUCCUUUUGAAAAGCGCGCCGCUUCUGUUUCACGCGUUCGCGUGAAUGGCGGCCGCGGACAAAGCCGCCCGCCUCGUCCGCUUUUAUUCCCGUAAUUAAGGACCACUCUGACGAAAAAGAGAGAGAGAGCAUUGCGACCGGGUCGUCUUAUAAUUAAGGGAAAAAAGAAAAAAGAAAAAAAAAAAAAAAGAAAAAGAAGAGAGAAAAAAAAAAAACGGAAAAAAAGAAAGAAAAAAAAAAAAGAUUUGUGAAAACAAUUUUUAUCCAAUCCUUCUCCAACGGAUAUUUUUUUGUUCGGAGAAAAAUGAAUAAAUAAAUAAAGUAAAAUUGAAGAAGAUCUUUGACGUGUUGGAAUUUAAUGUUUCUUGUUGUUGUUUAUUAUUAUUAUUAUUAUUAUUAUUAGUUUGGUUACGUAUAAUUGCAUGCAUUCAUAUUAUUGGUUUAUUGCACGUUCGUGACGAGAUUGUCGAGUUGGUUUUUUUUUUAAUCUUGUCUGGACCUGUCUUGUUUAAUAUUUCCUUUCUUCUUUUUUUUUUUCUCUCUCUCCUUUUCCCGUACGAAUUUUUUGGUUCGUUCUGUUUCGAUCAGUUUUUAUUUUUUUUCGUUUUCACCUCGCCUCGCGUUUCUUUCGAUUUUCCUAACCAAUCGAUCGAGAAAAAAGUGGGAGGGGAAAAAAAUGAAUAGAGAGAUGGGCGAAAUUAAAAGAAAAAACGCAAAAAAAAGAUAGCGUACUUUUUUUACCUUUUUGUCAAUAAUUUAUAAUAUCCCGUGUAAAGAAAUAAAUUUUUACGAGUAUCGGUUACGGAGCGAAUAUAUACGACUAGAACGCUUAGAAAGACGAGUUGUUCCUUCUUUCCUUGUUCCUCUCGUUGUUGCCGUACCCCCGAUCGAAACAAGCGUUAUUUCUGGAAAUACGCGGAUUCGAUGACUUGACGCGCGAUAAAAAGAAGGUAGGAAGGAGGAGGAGGAGGGGGAACGAGCGAAUGAGCAGCUCGUAGUUAAACUCAAUUUCCUUCUAACAAGGGGGUUAUAUCGCCUCGGGCAUCGGAGGAAUUCCAGCGAUAUUCUUGCUCUCUCCCUCUCUCUCACUCUGUCUCGACGAGAGAGAGUGGGAUGACAGCCAGCGCUUGGAAUUUAUCCACGAGUACUACGUUUGCUCCUUUUUUACCGUCGGGUAAAUGAUAAUUUCACUUCAUCCUGCAAUUUAUCCAUCGAUUCAUUUCGCGCGAAUUAGAAAUUGAAAAAAAAAGAAAAUUGUAUUACUCUUAGCGAUCCAACGAUAUAUCAAUUCAAUCGUGGAUGUCGAGGACAGCGUGCGCGAAACAAUUAAUUGUGAUCGUCGAGCAAACAGCGCACCACCACUGUCGACAGAUUCACCGACAGAUUAACUCGGUUGUGAUCACAUAUUACCGCGGUGUCUCGGCGAUAUCCGGAAUUACGCGACGAUCAAUACGCUAAAGACGUAUUACUAUGCGAUCUCUCCUCCAAGGAUAUUACUCGGAUCAUCGCCGCAUAUCCGAACGUGUAGCGUAUACUUUGAACAAAAGGCACGAGUAUCAAAUGGCGCGUGUGUUCGAAGAGGGAGGGGAUGACAACAGGCUUCUCGAUUCUCGGUCGGUAAUGCCGGUGUAUCGAUGGUGAAAAAUAUUGCGAUAUUAAUACGCAUUAUUCGCGAGCUACGCUCGUACGUUAUCUGGAAAAAAAAAAGGAAGGAAUCUACCUGUUCUCUGAAUCUCAAUCGUCGAAAAUUCUCCAACUUCGAAAAUUCACCACUAAUUUCACUUCAUACAUGAAAUAAACCGCCAAGAUUUUCGCUCGACUCGUAAAAAAGAUCACGAUCAACAUCCAUAACCGGGCAAUUUUCAUUUUAAAAACAAUCUACUCGAUUUUCACGGACGAUUGCUCCUCGGUAUAAAUAUCGGUUUCUUCUCUCUCUCUCUCUCUUCGAUGUAUCGGCUGUGCACGGAACACGGUGCACGACGGGCGGCCAUCUUGGUGGGGACUCGCAAUAUGGCUCCAUUUGCGAGGCUGUCGCUGUAGAUCGGGACGAUAAUUUUCUGGUGGCUCGUUGUCUCGACGUUUUCCGACCGUUUGGCCAACGCCAAAUGGAUGGAUCGUCGCCACCGGAAGUCGAUUAUAACGUAACAAUUUUGAGAAUCGCGGCGCUGCAAUCGCGGGUAACUUUCCUCGUUAACUCGGUCGCUGCUCGCUGUUUCCAGCUGCUUUUUCGCCGCUCUGUGAUCAAGUGCCGUUUCACGCUUCUCGAUUCGAAAUUGUCGGCCGGGUAUAAAUAGGUCCAUCUUUCGAUAAGAUUCAUAUUAUAUCGGUUAAUUAGUGUCCUUUUCAUAAAUCAAUGCGUAAUUUUUCGUUUAUUUUUUUUUUCAAAAAUUUGAUAAUUGAACAGCCGUGUUGUUAGAUCUUUUGUCUUGGCUCGCUUCGUUAAAUUCGAUUUUUAUCUAUUCCCGAGCAAAGCCAAUUAGCACGUGUUUCUUUCGCGAAAACACGCGCAAUCACUCGCCCCUCUUUCUCGUCGAACGAGAUCGACUUCCGGCCUUGCCCAACCAACUUUUUCCUAAUUGCAUCGCGCUUAUCGCGAUACAGCGUGCCGGGACCCGCCGCCUAGAGCAAUUUCCCCGUUAAUUGAAAUUUUUCCUGGCCCCUGCCCGCCCGAUAGGUGGCCUGCAAAAAUUGGAUAAAGCCCUCUUUUCACCCAACUUUCUCGACGAAACUGCGAAAACUGGAGUAGAAGAUCGUUACGGGAUCGUUAAUGGCGAAAAAGUUUCGGAAAAGUUUUUCCUCCUCUCCUCUUCUUCACGCUUCCGAUUUUGUUGUACGAAAUUUCCAAAAAAAAAAAAAAAAAGUAUCUAUUACUAUCUAUUACCGACGGAGAAAGAAUUAGGGCACGGUUUAAUAUUCGAUUUAAUAUUCCCAAGAAUCGAGAAGAAUUAUUCUCAACGUUGAGAAAAAUAAACAAAAACAAAACAAAAAAAAAAAGAAACCGAAAUGAAAGGUAGAAGUAAUAAUAAGAACACUUUGAAGAAAUUUAAAGUCCUGCCAUCUAUUUACACGUCUUACACACGCGCACGCGUAUUAUAAACAACGUUUAAGGACGUUUAUCUAGAAGGCGAUCCACUUAAUACCCUGGCAUUCCUUGCCUCGAGCGAGGAAUCCAAGCCUCGGUGAAAUUAUUCGCGCUCCACGAAGGAACCUCCUCCCCCUCUCCCUCUAAGACCAAGAUUAAUCGUCGGUUAAUUACCCCAUUGGAUGCGAGGGAUAAUUUUAUCAGACAGCGACCUAUUGCCAGGGUUAAUGCCGCGCUGAUAUUGGCCGAGGUAGAUACGCCGAUGACAGCCACAGCCGUUGAUAUAUAUAUAUAUAUAUAUAUAUUAUAUAAUAUAUAUGCAUACAUACGUACGCAACGUAUCCCUGCCAUUGUCGCGAGAAACACCGGCAGGCACGCGUUCCACGUGUGUGUACACGCGCGCGCAGCGAUGGAUCGGUGUGCAUCCGUUAACGCACGCCCGCUCGAUUGUGGUUGACCGUGGUUGAACUCUCGUCGCCAAUUCCCCCCUUCCACCUCCUCCGUCCGCCUUCUGCUCCUUUCCCCCCUUCCCCCUCUUCCUCUUGCUCCUCGCAGCGCCGUCUACUCGAUUCUACUUGCUUAGAGAUAUUGUCUGCGCGACGCGUGUCAGCGUGUCGUUGCCACCCACGCCGUGUGCCCCGAUAAAAUUAUCCUGUUGACGAGUUACCUUAACGAGCAAGACGUGGAUCACGGUAAUUCGCCGCCGAGAUGUUGGGGCUGUUUCAGAGCCCAACCUCUCGCGUUUAAAGCGAGACACGAGUGGCUGGUUUUUGACGCGGCUCGGAGGAUAACUCGUCGCUUGGAUCGUAUGCCGGUCGAGUUAUAGGUUAUAGAUAGAACGGUGCGUGUACGAUGGGAUUGAUUGGAGAGUUGGAAUUAAAAUUCAAAGAGGACAAAUCGCCCCGUUUAUCAAUCCUUGGGAUCGCGGCGGGCGGGUGACAAAUGGCGACGCGGAAGGGUUGUUUUAAAAAAAGAAAGAAAAAAAAAGGGAAAAAAUUCGGUUAUUCAUCGGUCCAUAUAGAAAAUUGAAUGGAAUCAAGCGCUCUGUCCGGAUAGUUUGUAACCGAUCUAGCGAAACGGGCGACCGCAAUUUUGCGAACGGCCAACAAUUCAAUUAAAUUCGCGCCAACACCGCCGCGCCGCCACCACUUCCGCCGCGGAAACGCGGCCGGAAAAUUUGGCCGGCGCAAAAUUUGUCGAGUCGCGCCCGAAAUAAAUUUCGUGCCCCGAAUCGAUCAUCCUUCCUUCCAACGAAUGCUCCUCCUCCUGCCUCUUCCCCCUCCCCUCCUCCCUUUUAAUUCCACUCUGUAAUUCGGUAAUGCAAUAAUCAUUACACACAACCAGGGGGAGGGGGGGAUCGAUCGUCCUCUUUGUUCAGCGAAACGAUAACUCUGCUUUUGCUCCUUUUGUACCCUCGUUAAUCGCCUUUCGAUUCGAAUUCCGAUGUAAUAAUUAUGGAAAUCCGAUACGUAAACCCGAUCCUUCUCCUCGCUAUUCACGUUUAAUCGCACGAUUCGCGUUUUCAAUUUGUCAGGAAGCGUGGUUAUAUAAGAAAUAAUUUGAAUCUUUGCUACGAACUUUCGCACUUUUCGUAAGACACAGCGUUCUUUCUCAGUAGCGCGCACAUUUCAGUAGCUUGGUCAACCGAUCUGUCAAGAUGGAAGGCAAAAAGUAAACAGCGACGCGAGCGACGCUUCUCGCACGCCGUGUGUUGCUCGAAAUUGUAGAACUGGAAACUAUUAGAGCGCUCGUCGCGACUCUUCUUGAAAACAAAAGAACGCUCUUUCAGAUGGCGCCACCAACGGUAAAAAGUAAUUCGAAUUCAGUGAGAAAUUACGAUCGUAGAAAGAAAGAGGAACUUUGUACGCGCAAUACGUCAAUUUAACUUCGUUUGUUUCGUUUCACGAUUUUAACGGUCGAGAAGGGUGGAAGAAACGGAUAAAACUGUUCGAAAGAUCGAACAGAUAUACAGUACAGGCUGAAUAUUUGGAAUAUUUAGAAACGACUCGCCGUGGCUGAAGUGUCAACGUGGAGCCCAGGCUCGAUCAGCAUUAUCCUGCUUGAAAAGAAUUAUAUACAAACGCUUGCGGAUCAGUUUCCUUUGCGGAUGGCGCCACGAACGGUAAAGUAAUUCGAAUUCGGUGAAAAGUUACGUUAUUUGCACAAUCCAAUACAUACAUAUAUAUAUAGUUUCUCGAUUCAUUUCGUUUCUCAAAUUAUACGUUGAUUUUCGAGGGAAAGUUAAAAAAAAGCCAAGAAAAUGUGGAAAUGUGGAACCAGGGUUUCUCUUCUGUAUCCUCCGGUAUUAUCCACCGGGCCGAAGCCCGUUAAUAACGAAGACGAGCGUUCAAUCGAGCCUCGAACAUUCCCUACCUCUCCCCCUCUCCCCCCCCCUCCCCACUUUUCGACCUCGAUAUAAUCGAUAAUCACACAGGAAACGGGGCCAUCGCAUCGUCGAGAUGGCCCGAAUACAGACGUCUCUCAGGUGUAUCUCGAGUGCGUAGCAUCGUUUAAAUCUAUCCCCUCCC